GUUGAACGCUGGCGGCGUGCCUAACACAUGCAAGUCGAGCGGAAAUAUAAGAAGCUUGCUUCUUAUAUUUUAGCGGCGGACGGGUGAGUAACGCGUGGAUAACCUGCCCUAUACAUUGGGAUAACAUUGAGAAAUUAAUGCUAAUACUGAAUAAGCUAACACUUAGGCAUCUAAGAGUUAGAAAAGAUUUAUCGGUAUAGGAGGGGUCCGCGUCUGAUUAGCUAGUUGGUGGGGUAAAGGCCUACCAAGGCGACGAUCAGUAGCCGACCUGAGAGGGUGAUCGGCCACAUUGGAACUGAGACACGGUCCAAACUCCUACGGGAGGCAGCAGUGGGGAAUAUUGCACAAUGGGGGAAACCCUGAUGCAGCAACGCCGCGUGAAGGAAGAAGUAGUUCGCUAUGUAAACUUCUAUCAACAGGGAAGAAGUCAAUGACGGUACCUGAAUAAGAAGCACCGGCUAAAUACGUGCCAGCAGCCGCGGUAAUACGUAUGGUGCAAGCGUUAUCCGGAUUUACUGGGUGUAAAGGGUGAGUAGGCGGUUACUUAAGUCAUGUGUGAAAUUCUGGGGCUCAACCCCAGAGCUGCACAAGAAACUGAGUAACUAGAGUGCAGGAGAGGUAAGCGGAAUUCCUAGUGUAGCGGUGAAAUGCGUAGA
rnacentral:rRNA from 1 species